AUUGAACGCUGGCGGAAUGCUUUACACAUGCAAGUCGAACGGCAGCACGGGAGCUUGCUCCUGGUGGCGAGUGGCGAACGGGUGAGUAACAUAUCGGAACGUACCCAGUCGUGGGGGAUAACUAUCCGAAAGGAUAGCUAGUACCGCAUACGUCCUGAGGGAGAAAGCGGGGGAUCGCAAGACCUCGCGCGAUUGGAGCGGCCGAUAUCGGAUUAGCUAGUUGGUGGGGUAAAGGCUCACCAAGGCGACGAUCCGUAGCGGGUCUGAGAGGACGACCCGCCACACUGGAACUGAGACACGGUCCAGACUCCUACGGGAGGCAGCAGUGGGGAAUUUUGGAUAAUGGGGGCAACCCUGAUCCAGCCAUUCCGCGUGAGUGAAGAAGGCCUUCGGGUUGUAAAGCUCUUUCAGCAGGAACGAAACGGUCGGCUUUAAUAAAAUCGGCUAAUGACGGUACCUGCAGAAGAAGCACCGGCUAACUACGUG
rnacentral:rRNA from 1 species